rnacentral:ncRNA from 1 species
AGGCGAGAGACCGAUAGCGAACAAGUACCGCGAGGGAAAGAUGAAAAGGACUGUGAAAAGAGAGUCAAAGAGUGCUUGAAAUUGCCAGGAGGGAAGUGGAGGGGGGGCCGGCGAUGCUCCCCGGCCGUAUGGGGAACUACUCUUGCUGGUCCGCCUCUCGGCUCGGUGUGUGGACUAUUGUCGGCCGCGUCGGCAGCCAAAGCCCGGGGGCCCUAGGUUGUUCCAGUUGCCGUCGUCGACAUGGCCGGUACCCACGCGCUGAAAGGUGUGUCCCUCGGGGCACUUCACUGCAACGGUCUGCGGGCUCCCCUUUCGACCCGUCUUGAAACACGGACC